CAAGCAUCACCGUGGACAGAAUACAAGGAGUUAGACGGUGUUCUAUAUGUGGAUGGAAGCGUCUUCAAGUUUAUUUUCCACUCCAUCAAACGGUUCAUUAUUUGGACUUCCCAAUAAAGAGUUAUGCUCAUUUUAGUAACUGCUGCCAGAAGCUGAAAGACGCGCGAACCAGCCACGAAAUCCACUAGUGCAUGCGCAUGCUGCCAUUUACUCCAAGCUGAACGCCCCUAUCUCUAUAUGUAACUUGUACUAGACAAUGAAAGGUCAGAUCUUGAU
rnacentral:lncRNA from 1 species